rnacentral:rRNA from 1 species
CCCUUAGACGUUCUGGGCCGCACGCGCGCUACACUGACCAGUGCAACAAGCAUCCGUCCUUGGCCGACAGGCCCGGGCAAUCUUUGAACGCUGGUCGUGAUGGGGAUAGACUUUUGCAAUUUUUGGUCUUCAACGAGGAAUUCCUAGUAAACGCAAGUCACCAACUUGCAUUGAUUACGUCCCUGCCCUUUGUACACACCGCCCGUCGCACCUACCGAUUGAAUGGUCCGGUGAAGCCUCCGGAUUGGCGCGCACCUCGGUGCCGCCGAGAAGUUGGCUAAACCUUACCAUUUAGAGGAAGGUGAAGUCGUAGCA